AGAAAACUUGGCAUUGUGUUAAAAAUGUCUGAUUUUUAAGAAAACUCUGCUCGAUUCUGUCUUUUCAACGUGGAGGGAGAGCAUCAGGCUGAGUCAAACUAGCCAAUGGGAUUUUUACUCCAUAACAUAACCAUGCAGUCAGUCUUUGAUUGACAAUUAAUGAUUGAUACUUUGCUUUAAUGAGCUUUAGUUCAGAAAGUUUUGCCCAGCACCAAGGAGUCUGAUAGAUAGGUCAUGUGGCAGCACCACCACAGCACAUUCAAUACACAGUUCAUCUUGCCUAUAUCAUUACUUUGUCUGUUCCUCAGUGUCCACACCCAGAUUUACUACCCCUAAUUCUUCUCUCGUACUUUUUGAUAAAGAAUCAAAUGCAUUUUGGAUCUUCAUAUGGAAUUACAUGUUGGAAUGGAAAGAAAUUAAACCCAAAGGCCUGGGUCUGCCAUUGUGUGACCUGAAAUACGCAUUUGACCAUUCUGUGUCUUUCCUUGUGUGUGAAAUCGGUUUCAGAUUAAUGAAGCAUUGAUGCACUAUGUAUCCUGUUUGGUAAGACUUUUAUUCAAAUACAUUUUUGCAUAAUUAGGUUGUCAUGCAGGGAAUUCCAGUGUAAAAUAAAGUCCAGUGGAUAUGGGUUAUUUCAAUAAUAGCCCUUUUGUUAUUUAGAUGUAAACUUACCUGCUUGUUCUAUUUGGAAAUCAGUUUGUUUAUACUACCUUAUGUUUAUAUCUUUAGCUUCUUCUGUACUGUGUCUUUCUUAUCCCCAUAAAUAUGAAUUAUCGACUACAUGAAACUGAUUCCAUAAGCUACAAGCUUAAAAAUUUGCACAAUUCUUAUGUUUGGCAAAAUUCUACGGAGGAAGAUAAUGUAUUGAAAAUAAAUAGGCUUGGUUAUGGGAAUGAUUCCAAGUUUCAGUCCUUGGCAGGGUUGGACUUCCACUGGAAAAUAAAAUUAGCCAAAACUGUAGCUCAAAAUCUUUUGAAAGAUAAAGCUAUGGGGAUUACACUAAUGUAUUCAAGGUGUCCAUGUACUUUGAGUACAGCUAAUAAUAAGCUCCCUGGAAAAUAUGAUGAAGACACUGGCAGGUUGUCAAAGUUCAACAAAAUCAACUUCAUGCACAUCCAAGACUACCAUUUCCAAAAUAAAUGGGUGGAUUCACCUUUAUCGUCUCAUUUGGAAUGCUAACUUUGGGAGUGUGGGAGGCAUUUUUCAUAAUCACAGGGAAGGGGACAAUAAGCUUUGCCUCCCACAUUCAGUGUGUCCUCACUGCUGUUUUAUCUCAGCAUCUGAAAUUCAAAGCAGCUUCCUCCAAAGCAAAAGGCCACCCAGGAGCUGGAAGGAAAGGAGCACAGGGAGGAAUUUGUGGUGAAAUUUGGCCACAGUCCCCGAAAGCCCACUUUCCUGUAUUUUUUCAGUGCUGAGUAAUAUUUAAGUGCUCCUAAUGAGAUAGAUGUUCUGCCCACCAGACUCAGCCUUCAGGAAUUCUGGAGCAGUGCUGUAUUCUUCCUAAGAUGAUUAGACUACAGAUAUUACUUCGCUGUUCCAAAACACAGAGAAACUAAUGAAAAUAUUUCAGAUCAUGAGAAUUUCCCUCGUAGUCUAGCUACAUCUCAGGUUCAUAGAAAAGGGUUUAAUUUUCAUAGCUGAAUAAAUAACUCUCUUUCUUUCGGGAGUUGUAUAACUCCCAGCAGUCAUGCUCAGCUAAGGAGCGGAAGUGCAGGUUGUGUCAGAAUCACCUGUGACUCUUUUUCAACUCACACAUUCUCUCCUCUCAAUAGGCCCCAUUUUCUCCCUAAGAUUCUGCACAUUCCUGCCCAUGGGGCAGCAUGGAUAGAAUCUGCCACUGUGAUCAACAGCUAUUUAUGAGAGUGAGUUGUAUCUCCUAGAGAUUGGGGUGGGAAAAAGGCUGAGAAACAGCUCCACUGUCUUGGAGCAACAUUUCUCGACAGUGUCCCCAGCUCUUCAGGGAUUCAUGGGGUUGGUAAUGGAGACCUGCAGGCGAUGUUCAUUAUUUUUUAAAACAAUCUUCUGGAAGCUGUAUAUCUGCUGACAGUAGAGCUGCUCUAGCUGCUGGCUGAAACCUUGUCUCUUGUCUUCCAGUUACAAUCACAUCGCCUCCUGGAGAUAAGCUAAUUAUCAGGCUAUUUGGAAGCUCUGAUGAGCUUGAUGAAUAGAAAUGAAAAAAAUGAAUUAUAUUUAAUUAAGUCUGGUCAUUUGAUAGACAAUUUCAAAACAUGUGACACAUAGAAUACAAAUAAUUAAAAGGGCACAUGGCAGCUAAAAAGUUUGUAAACCACUGACCUCAAAUGAGGUAGAAUUCAGCAUAGAAGAAAUAUCUGUUGAUUUCUCUUUAAUUAACAACUUUCUUAUUACUAUUGGCAUCUCUGUGUAGAUAAGUGCACAGAUCUACACAUAUGUUCUAAAAUAGAUAGGAAUGAAGAAAGAACAGCAGAUAGACUAACUGGGGAUAGAGCUGUCUAUACAUUGACAGCUGUAAUCAUUUAUUAAUUUUAAUGUGAUCUUUUAAAAUUAUUCCUGUUUUAUUUAUCUUCAGUAAAUUUGAAUUCCACAGCCUCGCUCUUCCUGGAUGAGUGCCAUGGGUGAGACUGUGGGAGGCUCAAUUUCAGAAUGCAUUUUUACAAAAUUACUGUCAUCAGUAAGUUCUGGAUCUUACAUAAGGCUUCAGUGACUCCCACCAUCAGUCUACUGAUUCGAAGGUUAAUCUCAUCCAGAAACAUCCUCACAGACACACUCAGAAACAAUGUUUACAAUGGUCUGAAUGUUCAUGUCCCUUCAAAAUUCAUACAUUGAAUUCCUAACCCCCAAGGAGAUGGUAUUAGGAAGCGGGGCCUUCGGGAGGUGAUUAGGUCAUGAAGGCAGAGCCCUCAUGGAUGAGGUUAGCGCCCUUAUGAAGGAGACCCCGGAGAGCUGCCUUGCCUUUUCUGCCGUGGGAUGUCACAGUGAGAAGUAAAGGACGGCCAUCUAGGAAGCAGCUCUUCAACAGACACUGAAUCUGCUGGCACCUUGAUCUUCCAGCCUCCAGAACUGUGAGAAAGAAAUUUUCGUUGUUUAUAAGUCACUCAGUUUAUGGUAUUUCUUUUUUAUAGCAGCCCAAAUGGACUAAGACAACGUAUAACCAAAUAUCCAGACACCCCCUGACCCAGUCAAGUUGUUACAUAAAAUUAACCACCCAAACUAUUGUGGUUGUUUUUGUUGUGGUUAUAUUAUCUUCUUAUGUGGAGCUGAAAUUAAUGCAAGUAGAUCAAUCAAAUCAACAUUGAAAUAUAGACAAAUGUAAAUGGGUAAUAUGUAUAAUGUGUAUUUUACAUUUCUUAGGAGAACACACAUAUUAUUCAAAGAUUAAUCUGCUUGGCUGAAAAGAUAACUUCAACUACAUUUUAAGGACAUUUCUUCUUAUAGAUACACGUGUAGGUCAGGCACCAGACAACUUACGAAUAAUAAGUUGACUGACAAGACAGUAGACACAAAAUAGACCAACGUAUACAAAUAUUAGGACCUUCUUCGAUUACUGUAAUUUUAAUGCAUCAAUUGGACAGCAGGCUUUUGAAGCUGCUAAAUUAAGGCAGAGUUCUUGCAACACAAGACACCUUUGCGUGUGAGGAGCACUUGCAAAACUUCACGGACAGUUUACUAAAAAAGACUGAAGGAAAUUCCUACAAACUAUUGGCAAAACUGUAAGUGCUGAGUUCACCUCUCCUCAAGCUGCCACUGUGAAUAUGUCGCCCGCAGCUUUGUAACCUGGAGGACCCGGGCCUUGUGCCUGGGUCAGCCCCUGCCCACGUCCUCAGCUUUGUCUCCGCCUCCUCCCCUUUUCUCUCCUUCAUUGAUGCCGGGCUUCUCUUAGUUCCAUCAGUUGGCCAUGCUCAUCCUCACCUUCAGGCUUCUGCACACGCUACUCCUUUCUAUGGGGAAUGGUCUUUCCUCACUCCUGGUUAAGCCCUUCUCAUCCUUCUGUUCUAGCUGAGGUAUCAUUUCUUCAAGGAGGGAUUCCAGGAUCCCCCAGAUGAGUUCUGACCCCUCUGAGAUAUGCUUCAGAGCAGAUAUUUUCCCUUCUUAUAGCACUAUCUCCCACUUAACUAAUUUUCUUACUGUAUUUUUUAGUAACUCUAUAUACCAAGAUCAUGUAAACUCCUGAGGAGAAGGGCCCACGUUUACUUUAUAGUUCUCAGGUUUUAUCACAGUGCCUGACACAUGGUAGCACCUCACUAAAUACCACAUUUAAGUGAAUCUAAGAUGCAUUGAUUGUAAGACACAUUGGUAUUUUAUAUACACCAAGAAGAAAAAACUUCCAA
rnacentral:lncRNA from 1 species